rnacentral:rRNA from 1 species
CCUACGAGAGGCAGCAGUGAGGAAUAUUGGUCAAUGUACGAGAGUCUGAACCAGCCAAGUAGCGUGAAGGAUGACUGCCCUAUGGGUUGUAAACUUCUUUUAUAUGGGAAUAAAAUGUUCCACGUGUGGGAUUUUGUAUGUACCAUAUGAAUAAGGAUCGGCUAACUCCGUGCCAGCAGCCGCGGUAAUACGGAGGAUCCGAGCGUUAUCCGGAUUUAUUGGGUUUAAAGGGAGCGUAGGUGGAUGGUUAAGUCAGUUGUGAAAGUUUGCGGCUCAACCGUAAAAUUGCAGUUGAAACUGGCAGUCGUGAGUACAGUAGAGGUGGGUGGAAUUCGUGGGGUAGCGGUGAAAUGCUUAGAUAUCACGAAGAACUCCGAUGGCGAAGGCAGUUCACUGGACUGCAACUGACACUGAGGCUCGAAAGUGUGGGUAUCAAACAGGAUUAGAGACCCCGGUAGUC